AUUGAACGCUGGCGGCAUGCUUUACACAUGCAAGUCGAACGGUAACAGGCCUUCGGGUGCUGACGAGUGGCGAACGGGUGAGUAAUGCAUCGGAACGUACCCAGAGGUGGGGGAUAACGCAGCGAAAGCUGUGCUAAUACCGCAUGUGAUCUGAGGAUGAAAGCGGGGGACCGAGCAGCAAUGUUUGGCCUCGCGCCUUUGGAGCGGCCGAUGUCGGAUUAGCUAGUUGGUGGGGUAAAGGCCUACCAAGGCGACGAUCCGUAGCUGGUCUGAGAGGACGACCAGCCACACUGGGACUGAGACACGGCCCAGACUCCUACGGGAGGCAGCAGUGGGGAAUUUUGGACAAUGGGGGCAAGCCUGAUCCAGCAAUGCCGCGUGCGGGAAGAAGGCCUUCGGGUUGUAAACCGCUUUUGGCAGGAACGAAACGGUGUCCGCUAAUACCGGGCGCUAAUGACGGUACCUGCAGAAUAAGCACCGGCUAACUACGUG
rnacentral:rRNA from 1 species